rnacentral:rRNA from 1 species
UACGUAGGGUGCGAGCGUUGUCCGGAAUUAUUGGGCGUAAAGAGCUCGUAGGUGGUUUGUCGCGUUGUUCGUGAAAACUCACAGCUUAACUGUGGGCGUGCGGGCGAUACGGGCAGACUGGAGUACUGCAGGGGAGACUGGAAUUCCUGGUGUAGCGGUGGAAUGCGCAGAUAUCAGGAGGAACACCGGUGGCGAAGGCGGGUCUCGUGGGCAGUAACUGACGCUGAGGAGCGAAAGCGUGGGGAGCGAACAGG